rnacentral:rRNA from 1 species
AUUGAACGCUGGCGGCAGGCCUAACACAUGCAAGUCGAGCGAGCGGCGGACGGGUGAGUAAUGUAUGGGGACUGCCCGCUAGAGGGGGAUAACUACUGGAAACGGUAUCUAAUACCGCAUACUAUCGCAUUACCCCUAUGGGUUUAUCUAUGAGGUUAGGUAAUGGCUCACCUAGGCGACGAUCCCUAUCUGGUCUGAGAGGAUGAUCAGCCACACUGGGACUGAGACACGGCCCAGACGCCUACGGAGGCAGCAGUGGGGAAUAUUGCACAAUGGGCGCAAGCCUGAUGCAGCCAUGCCGCGUGUAUGAAGAAGGCCCUAGGGUUGUAAAGUACUUUCAGUCGGGAGGCGGUAACGAAAGAAGAAGCACCGGCUAACUCCGUGCCAGCAGCCGCGGUAAUUG